GGGCCCGCACAAGCAGCGGAGCGUGUUGCUUAAUUCGAUGAUACGCGAGGAACCUUACCAGGGUUUAAAUGCAGAACGACAGGGGUGGAAACACCCCCUUCUUCGGACGGACUGCAAGGUGCUGCAUGGUUGUCGUCAGCUCGUGCUGUGAAGUGUCGGGUUAAGUCCCAUAACGAGCGCAACCCCCAUUUCUAGUUGCCAGCGGUUCGGCCGGGGACUCUAGAGAAACUGCCAGCGUAAGCUGUGAGGAAGGUGGGGAUGACGUCAAAUCAUCACGGCCCUUACAUCCUGGGCCACACACGUGCUACAAUGGUAGGGACAACAGGUUGCCAACCCGCGAGGGUGAGCCAAUCCCAAAACCCUAUCUCAGUUCGGAUCGGAGUCUGCAACUCGACUCCGUGAAGUUGGAAUCGCUAGUAAUCG
rnacentral:rRNA from 1 species